rnacentral:rRNA from 1 species
UACGUAGGGUGCAAGCGUUGUCCGGAAUUAUUGGGCGUAAAGAGCUCGUAGGCGGUCUGUCGCGUCUGCUGUGAAAACGCGGGGCUCAACCCCGCGCCUGCAGUGGGUACGGGCAGACUAGAGUGCGGUAGGGGAGACUGGAAUUCCUGGUGUAGCGGUGGAAUGCGCAGAUAUCAGGAGGAACACCGGUGGCGAAGGCGGGUCUCUGGGCCGUUACUGACGCUGAGGAGCGAAAGCAUGGGGAGCGAACAGG